AUGCUCACUUUGGCAGCACAUAUACUAAAAUUGGAAUGAUAGAAGAUUAGCAUGGCCCCUGAAUAAGGAUGACACACACAAAUUCAUGAGGCAUUCUGUAUUUUU